rnacentral:rRNA from 1 species
UACAUGGGGUGCAAACGUUGCUCGGAAUUAUUGGGCGUAAAGCGCGCGUAGGCGGUUAUCUAAGUCGGAUGUGAAAGCCCUCGGCUUAACUGAGGAAGUGCACCCGAAACUGGAUAGCUAGAGUACGAAAGAGGGUCGCGGAAUUCCCGGUGUAGAGGUGAAAUUCGUAGAUAUCGGGAGGAACACCGGUGGCGAAGGCGGCGACCUGGGUCGAGACUGACGCUGAUGUGCGAAAGCGUGGGGAGCAAACAGG